rnacentral:rRNA from 1 species
GACGAACGCUGGCGGCGUGCUUAACACAUGCAAGUCGAACGGAAAGGCCCUGCUUUUGUGGGGUGCUCGAGUGGCGAACGGGUGAGUAACACGUGAGUAACCUGCCCUUGACUUUGGGAUAACUUCAGGAAACUGGGGCUAAUACCGGAUAGGAGCUCCUGCUGCAUGGUGGGGGUUGGAAAGUUUCGGCGGUUGGGGAUGGACUCGCGGCUUAUCAGCUUGUUGGUGGGGUAGUGGCUUACCAAGGCUUUGACGGGUAGCCGGCCUGAGAGGGUGACCGGCGACAUUGGGACUGAGAUACGGCCCAGACUCCUACGGGAGGCAGCAGUGGGGAAUAUUGCACAAUGGGCGGAAGCCUGAUGCAGCAACGCCGCGUGCGGGAUGACGGCCUUCGGGGUGUAAACCGCUUUCGCCUGUGACGAAGCGUGAGUGACGGUAAUGGGUAAAGAAGCACCGGCUAACUACGUG